AGAGUUUGAUCAUGGNNNNNNACGAACGCUGGCGGCGUGCUUAACACAUGCAAGUCGAACGAGAAACCGGAGCUUGCUCCGGUGGAAAGUGGCGAACGGGUGAGUAACACGUGAGAAAUCUGUCCUAGAGACCGGGACAACCAUCGGAAACGAUGGCUAAUACCGGAUACCCCCGCCCGGUCGCAUGGCCGAGCGAGAAAAUGCUCAGGUGCUCUAGGAGGAUCUCGCGGCCUAUCAGCUUGUUGGUGGGGUAACGGCCUACCAAGGCAUCGACGGGUAGCUGGUCUGAGAGGACGAUCAGCCACACUGGGACUGAGACACGGCCCAGACUCCUACGGGAGGCAGCAGUGGGGAAUAUUGCGCAAUGGGCGAAAGCCUGACGCAGCAACGCCGCGUGAGGGAUGACGGCUUUCGGGUUGUAAACCUCUUCA
rnacentral:rRNA from 1 species